rnacentral:lncRNA from 1 species
AGGCUGCGCUGCUGUCAGACGUGUCCAUCACCACAUGUGACAUUAAUGACAUCAUCCUGACCUCGCAGGAUCCCAGAAUAAUGAUGCUUGAAGGAUUUUCCAAAGUCAUCUACUUCCAACUCUCUUGAAAACUUUAAAGACAUUGGGCCUGAAAGUUUCAGUGACUUGUCCAGGGAAACCCGGUUUAUGACAGAAGGAAAACUGCAGUUCCCUCUCAGAUAAGUCACCAAAAGCAUCUUAUCAAAGGGGCCUUCUGAGAAAUACAUCCCAGCUGAAACGAACAAAAGUUCCUGCCUUCAAGCAUCCCAUCUCUUUUCUGUGAAUUGUCUGUACCAAGAGCUGAGCCACAGUUCUCUACACUCACCCAGGAGCCACAGAAAGUGAACAUCCCUCAGGUAUCAGUGUCAUUCAAGGACGUGAGUGUGGAGUUCCCCAGGAGGAGUGGCAGCAGAUGGACUCUGCACAGAGGACCCUGUACAGAGACGUGAUGAUGCUGGAGAACUACAACCGCCUCGUCUCUGUGGCUUCACCAUCGUCUCCACCCGUCAGGAAGGUACACUUCAAGCCCACCCUUCUCACCGACCCUCCCUUGACUGCAGCAGGUGUCUCUGUUCAGAAGAGUCUCUCCACAUGUUGUUGCAUCUCUGACAUUGCUUUUUGAUAGCAAGUCUGGUCCUGGCUGCACUAAGGUUCCUAGGACUCACAAUUGUGAAAACAUCCUUUAAAGUCUGAGCAAGAUAAAUUCCACCAAACAAAUGUCCAGGUGAGAAGGGGUUAUAAGAAUGACACGUUGACUAUAUUCUUCAAAAAUGGCUUGUCAUAAAAAAGGAAGGCUUAGAAACUAAUCCAGAUUAUAGGAGACUAAAGACACGUGACAACUAAAUGCAGCAUUGUGAUUCUAGACUGAAUCCUAUAAUGGAGCUUUUAAAAAAAGCCACAAAGGACGUUAC